GUCGCUACUACCGAUUGAAUGUCUUAGUGAGUAAUUUGGAAAUAUUUUCUGGCUAGUAAUAGUCUGAAGACGUUAAAGAAUUCAAACUGUGGCAUUUAGAGGAAGUAA
rnacentral:rRNA from 1 species